GACGAACGCUGGCGGCGUGCUUAACACAUGCAAGUCGAACGAAGUGGCGCACGGGUGAGUAACGCGUGAUCAACCUGCCCUUCAGAGGGGGACAACAGGUGGAAACGACUGCUAAUACCGCCUACUGAAGGAGGGGAUUGCGGCUGAUUCGCUAGUUGGGGGGGUAACGGCCCACCAAGGCGAUGAUCAGUAGCCGGUCUGAGAGGAUGAACGGCCACAUGGGGACUGGGACACGGCCCAGACUCCUACGGGAGGCAGCAGUGGGGAAUAUUGGACAAUGGGCGAAAGCCUGAUCCAGCCAUGCCGCGUGUGUGAAGAAGGUCUUCGGAUUGUAAAGCACUUUAAGUUGGGAGGCGUUACCAACAGAAUAAGCACCGGCUAACUUCGUGCCAGCCGCCGCGGUAAUU
rnacentral:rRNA from 1 species